GUGACCUCAAAUCAGGUAGGACUACCCGCUGAACUUAAGCAUAUCAAUAAGCGGAGGAAAAGAAACUAACAAGGAUUCCCCUAGUAACUGCGAGUGAAGCGGGAAAAGCUCAAAUUUAAAAUCUGGCGGUCUUAUGGCUGUCCGAGUUGUAAUCUAGAGAAGUGUUAUCCGCGCUGGACCGUGUACAAGUCUCCUGGAAUGGAGCAUCAUAGAGGGUGAGAAUCCCGUCUUUGACAUGGACUGCCAGGGCUUUGUGAUGCGCUCUCAAAGAGUCGAGUUGUUUGGGAAUGCAGCUCAAAAUGGGUGGUAAAUUCCAUCUAAAGCUAAAUAUUGGCG
rnacentral:rRNA from 1 species